ensembl:miRNA Mir7074 microRNA 7074
UUGGGUGGGAAGAGGCUAGGGCUCCAGUCCAGCAGGUAACUAGACCUUCUCCUCUCUCUCCCUGCAG